rnacentral:lncRNA from 1 species
GGCAAGGGCGACAGGGAGCGGAGGAGCUGGAAAGAGCGGAGCCCCCGAGUGAUCCUUAAUUUGAAGCUGCUUAUCAUGGGCUCAGAACUACAAGGAAGAGGAGGAGGAGGAGGAGGAGGAGGAGGAGGAGGAGGAGGAGGAGGAGGAGGAGGAACAGCAGCAACAACAACAAUAACAACAAUGACAACAACAACUUCAUCUUCUUCUGCCACAAGAAAAGCCUAUGUCCUUACAGGGUCCUCUCCAUAUUGACUGAAAUAAUACAUCAACUCUCAACCAAAAAUAUUAUUUUAACUUUCUUCUGGGGUCCUUUGAUUGCUUUACCAGAGGUGCCAUUGUUUGAAAUUGUCAUAGAAGCUCUGGGACAAACACAAAUGGGAGCCUCAUGAUGACCAUCCGCAUGCACACAGACAGGAGCAGCCCUGUGACUUGCUUCUAAUUAAAAGGAUAUAUCAAAGGCAACUAGAUGUCACCCAGUGACAUUCCUUUAUCGCUGUGUUGCUAUGUUAUGAAUUAUUACUCUAUAUAUGCCGACAUGGAGAAGACUUGUUUUAAUUGUAGGUUUGCAGUCGCAUCUUGUUUUCUUUGCUGGCUUGGAAGAAGCAAGCAGCCAUGUGUCCAGUACUGCAAAGAGCAACCCGAGCAGGCUGGGAACCCAUGCUGCCGUCUCCCAGCCAAA